UCAAACUUGGUCAUUUAGAGGAAGUAAAAGUCGUAACAAGGUUUCCGUAGGUGAACCUGCGGAAGGAUCAUUAGAAAUUUACACCCCCCAUCUUGAAUAUACCGUUAGUGUGGACCCAAGAGGGAUGUGUCAACCAAUUGUGAACCUCCCCGCCUUUGCUUUGGCAGCGCUCUACGGGCAACCGUAGAGGUAAGGCUGCCAGAAGCUCUCAGUAAAACCAGUUGAUGAGAAACUUCCAUGCUGUCUGAUAUUUUUUUUUUUUCUGGAUCAGAAAUAAAAUCAUUAUAAAAACUUUCGGCAACGGAUCUCUUGGUUCCCGCAUCGAUGAAGAACGCAGC
rnacentral:misc_RNA from 1 species